rnacentral:rRNA from 1 species
GACGAACGCUGGCGGCGUGCCUAAUACAUGCAAGUCGAACGCAGUGGGGACGGGUGAGUAACACGUGGGUAACCUCCCAUCAGAGGGGAUAACACUUGGAUACAGGUGCUAAACCGCUACUGAUUGAUGGACCCGCGGGGCAUUAGCUAGUUGGUGAGGUAACGGCUCACCAAGGCCACGAUGCAUAGCUGCGCUGAGAGGAUGACCGGCCACACGGGGACUGAGACACGGCCUAGACUCCUACGGGAGGCAGGCGUGGGGAAUCUUCGGCAAUGGGCGCAAGUCUGACCGAGCAAUGCCGCGUGAGUGAAGAAGGUUUUCGGAUUGUAAAACUCUGUUGUUGGAGAAGCGGUAUCUAACCAGAAAGCAACGGCUAACUACGUGCCAGCAGCCGCGGUAAUUC